GCAAGGAAAAAAGGCACGUGGCCAUGGAGGCUAUGAUUCUGAUUUUAGUGAUGAGGAGAGUGGAGAGAAUUCUGUGCAAAAGACUAAAAGUAAAAAGGAAGAUGUCCUUCUGAUAAAGCCAUUCCAAAAAGCAAAACAAGGCAGUGUGGUUCACAGACAAUUCGCAGCUGAAGAAUGGGAUAGGGAAGAAGCAAGAAAAA
rnacentral:lncRNA from 1 species